CCGGGUAUCUGCUUUAGUGCGGGGCUUAACGUAGUAAAGCAAGGAACGGACAGAAGAGCACACGUCAGGGCUGAGAGGAAAGACGAAUGGGGCCUUAGUGGCGAAGAAGGACAGGCCGGGCUGGGCUGCCCCUCCUCGGAGAGAAUGCUCACGUACCGUACAGCCGUAGCGCGGCUUUGUGCGUUGUGCCUUCGCCAUCAGUCCGUAACCGUGUUGUGACGCCCACCGGGAUGCUCCCUGGUAGUUGCUAGACAGUGUUGUCCGAAUAGGGAUGCGCCUGGGAAUCGGGCUAGGUAUUUACGCAGUUCUGGGGUGCGUGACACCGCGGCUGAACCGUUUCCCUAAUUGCAGGUGACUCGCGAGUCAACCUGGGAGCGGCCUGCGGACCUAGCCUGGCGGCGGCUGAGAGCGGAGGAAUGAGUGGCUGACUAGAGGGAAGACCUGGACGAGUGAGGCAGGCAGCAGCAAAGGUAGAUGCAGGAGCUGGCAAGAGUGGAGUCACUGGAGUGGGUCAAUCCGACCAGUCGACAGCAUGGGUAGAUGCGUGGCAUGUUACGGUUUCGGGCGUCAAGGGCACAUAAUCGAGCGCGUUAGCGGCUAGACAUCGUGAAUGUUUGAGGCAUGAUGUGGUCGUUACAGUUCCCGCCUCCUAUUUGGUAGGCAUUGCUGUGCGCGUGGGGUUGGUCGGGUUGCUUUCCCCGCGCUGGCACGCCACGCUCCAACUCACAAAUUCUUACGCAAUUCUUGUACUACAUGCGCACAUAACUAUGCUUGGGACGUCCCGGUGAUAUUCAGGACGUGGUGUAAGAAACAUUUGACGACCUCUCGCCGCGCUCCGGCUUUGUGGUACAAUUGUUGAAUGUUGUCUGCCGUGCGUGUCCAGAAACGUGCCACUGAGCUUCCUCGGGUGGGGCCCGCAGCUGAGCCCGCAGCAGCAGCAGAUGCUGGAGAGCCACCAUUCUUACCAGCUGCAGCAGGCGUGGGCGGCGCAGAACAGCGGGCAGCAGCUGAGCCCGCAGCAGCAGCAGCUGCUGGAGAGCAACCAUUCUUACCAGCUGCAGCAGGCGUGGGCGGCGCACAACAGCGGGCAGCAGCUGAGCCCGCAGCAGCAGCAGCUGCUGGAGAGCCACCCAUUUCACCAGCUGCAGCAGGCGUGGGCGGCGCACAACAGCGGGCAGCAGCUGAGCCCGCAGCAGCAGCAGCUGCUGGAGAGCCACCCGUUUCACCAGCUGCAGCAGGCGGCGGCGGCCCAGCAUCCAACCCAGGAGCAGCGGCAGCUGUUGCAGCAACAAUCUGCGUGGGCCAGCAAGGGUGCCAGCAAGGGUGGCACAAAAGCACGUGACUGCCGGAAUGCUGCCCGGGACCCGGACGCCGGUGCCCAGGUGCUGGUGGCACUGCAGCAGGCCUGGCACCGGGUGGCUGACCAGCAGCCGGUCGGCUGUCGGCUCUUCUCCGAGGAUCAGGCGCGGCUGCUGAAGGCUGCCUACAGCGAAUGGAGCAGCUUGGAGGGCCGGCGGAUACCAAUUAACCAUGUGUGGAGCAACGCCGUGGCUCAGCUGACUGGUAUCAAGCUAGAGAGCCUCUCUACCUGGAGAGCCAGAAAUGGAUGCUGAUAAGGUAGGGUAGGGUAGGGUAGGGUAGGGGAGNNNNNNNNNNNNNNNNNNNNNNNNNNNNNNNNNNNNNNNNNNNNNNNNNNNNNNNNNNNNNNNNNNNNNNNNNNNNNNNNNNNNNNNNNNNNNNNNNNNNGGGAGGGAGGGAGGGAGGGAGGGGAGGGGAGGGUAGGGUAGGGUAGGGUAGGGGAGGGGAGGGUAGGGUAGGGGAGGGGAGGGGAGGGGAGGGUUGUAGAUACCAGGGAGGGGAGGGGAGGGGAGGGUUGUAGAUACGCGCGCUACCCGUGCACAUUUGCAGUACUCGGCGGCUGAGAGCAGAGGAAUGAGCGGCGUCUGGAGGGGUGCGACUGACUAGAGGGAAGACCUGGACGAGUGAGGCAGGCAGCAGCAAAGGUAGAUGCAGGAGCAGGCACGAGUGGAGUGGGUCAAUCCGACCAGUCGACAGCAGGGGUAGAUGCGUGGCAUGUUACGGUCUCGGGCGUCAGGGGCACAUAUUCGAGCGCGUUAGCGGCUAGA
rnacentral:lncRNA from 1 species